UCGUCGCGCCGCGUGCCGCCUUCGCACCUCCCGCGCCACGCUCGCUUGGAAUCGGAACUUUUCCGUAGUUCGCCGCGGCCGCUCUGAAAUCUGAACGUGUAAACGCAGUGUUGUGAAUCUGUGGUUGCGAUUGUGUUUUUUUUUGGCGCGCAAAUUGUUUCUGACGUUUGGGAUACUGGCUGAUAAGUCUGCGUGCAGUGGAAUAGUGUCAAUACUUUCAAUGGAUUGGACAACGAAAUGGUGGAUACAAAACUUUUGACAAGUGAACUGAACUUGUUGUGAACAGUGGGUAGUUAGACGUUAGAUGCGAAGGCGGGACGCGUAGGGUAGAGGAUGGUGGACUAGCAGGAAUGGGAGCUAGUGCCAGUGAGAUGGACUGAGGGUGCGAGCGAGACGGGUAGGGUGGAUGCGGGCGCGGGACUGACGGCGCGCGGCACCGAGCGGAUGCGGCGCGGGAGUGUGUACAGUGUAAGCGAAGGCGUGGAGCGGUGCGGGUGCCCAAGAUGUGUUUUUUAUAACAGGUAGCGAGGGCGCGGGUGCGGGUGCGGGUGCGGCUGCAGCCAUGGCCG